GGAGAAGCAGGGGAUCGCAAGACCUUGCGCUAUUGGAGCGGCCGAUGCCUGAUUAGCUUGUUGGUGAGGUAAAAGCUCACCAAGGCUUCGAUCAGUAGCUGGUCUGAGAGGACGACCAGCCACACUGGGACUGAGACACGGCCCAGACUCCUACGGGAGGCAGCAGUGGGGAAUUUUGGACAAUGGGGGAAACCCUGAUCCAGCCAUGCCGCGUGAGUGAAGAAGGCCUUCGGGUUGUAAAGCUCUUUCAGCCGGAACGAAACGGUUACGGUUAAUACCCGUGACUACUGACGGUACCGGAAGAAGAAGCACCGGCUAACUACGUGCCAGCAGCCGCGGUAAUACGUAGGGUGCGAGCGUUAAUCGGAAUUACUGGGCGUAAAGCGUGCGCAGGCGGUUUUGUAAGUCAGAUGUGAAAUCCCCGGGCUUAACCUGGGAACUGCGUUUGAAACUACAAGGCUAG
rnacentral:rRNA from 1 species